rnacentral:lncRNA from 1 species
CCCCAUUAUUGACCUCUUACAAUAGUGUAGUAUAUUUGUUAUAAUUGAUGAACCAUUAUUGCUACAUUAUUGUUCAUUAAAGUCCAUAGGUUACCUUAAGGUUUACCCCUUGUGUUGUAGAGUUCAAUUAGGUUUUGCCUAGGAAUCCACCACUACAGUAUCAUACAGAGUGUGUUCACUGUCCUAAAAAUCUUCUGUGUUACACCUAUUCAUCCCUCCACCACACCACGCCCACACCCACCAAACCCUUGGCAACCACAGAUUUUUUUUACUAACUCCAUUGUUUUGCCUUUUCUGGAAUGCCAUAUAGUUGAAAUUGUGCAGUAUGUAGUCUUUUCAGACUGGCUUCUGUCUUAGCAAUAUGCAUAUAAGAUUCCUC